AGCUCCUCAAAGAGCCUCAGAAACUCUGAUGGGAAACAAAGCACAUGAUCACAGUCAUCCUGAUGGAGAAACAUCUGGUUUUUGAGGACGAGGUUCAGUGCAAGAGCAGAAACGAUGCUGCGAGACCGAUGUGCUCCGUUCCUCCACAUCAGCAGACGAACGAGAGUGUGUUACUGCGUCAGUACGCUGAAAUCAUAGACGAGGAGGAAGGCGACAAGAUGACGAGACCUGAUACUUUCAUCUCACUGGAUGCUGAGGCUGACGUCUCUGCGAGGAGAAGAAAACCAACCCUCGUCAGAUCCAAAACAUUUGAUCCGUCACUACUCCUGCAAGUCCAGAGUGACUCCGAAUCAAAGUGUGAACGCAGGAAACCUCAGUCCUGUCAGUCUCUGCGCACUAAUAUCCAGUACCACAAAGUUUUUAAAGACAUAAGUGAAGAUGAACAACUGAGGCAGAGUUACACAUGCGCGCUGCAGAAGGACAUUCUGUACCAAGGAAGGCUGUUUGUGUCCGAUAACUGGAUCUGUUUCCAUUCCAAAGUGUUCGGGAAAGACACUAAGAUUGCGAUUCCAGUUGCUUCAGUAACAGUGAUCAAGAAAACAAAAACUGCCAUCUUGGUGCCAAAUGCACUGGUUAUUUCUACAGCACUCGAGCGGCAUGUGUUCGUUUCGUUUCUGUCUCGAGACACAACCUACAAGGUUUUGAUGUCUGUGUGCCCUCAUCUGGUUGAGAAGAGUCCUGGGAUCAGUCAAAUCCCGUCCCAGAGUCUGAGAGGACAUCCAGUGUCUCUGCCCACGGAUUUCGCUGCAGAUCUGUCAGAUUUGGACGGUCCGGUCAGACAGACGGGUCAGCACAUGGAUGACAGCAGCAGCUCGGACUGUCCCGAGUCACCGGACUUCGUCAAAACCCCGAAAUUCCCGAAACGAUCCCAAGCUUUCAUUGAAGUGGCUAAAAGAGAGAGUGAACUGGAUUCUCACCCACAACAAGAAACCAACACCACUGCAAACUUACCAUACACUGGUUCUACAGGAUCAGAGCUGGAGUUCAUGAAGACGCUGCGGCCCGUGUCUCUCUCUCUGAACGCUCUGCUGUUGAUCUAUCUGUCUCUGGUUUGUGUCCUGCUGUUGUCCUCCUGUUACAUGGCGUUUAAGAUCGUGUCUCUUGAGGAGCGUCUGACAUCUCUCGUGUCAAUGGAGUUUCCCCAGAAAAGAGAUGAAUAUCAAAGUCUGUUUUCUGGAGAAACAGCUGAGUUCUACUCGGUUCUUUCUGCAAGUCUUCUGAAGCUGGAAAAGAUCCACAGAAACCUGCAGAGACUGCUGGAGACCGUGUCUGAGGUCUGAAUGAAGGGCACACGCACAUGGAAGUGAAAGACUUUCCAGUCAAAGUCUUGAAGGCAUGAAACAGGAUCGAGAGUGCGGCGUGGGGAACUAAUAUGAAGAAAAACAGAGCAUAAUGAUCAUAUGAGGAAAGACAAAGAGCUUUUCCUGAUCCCAUGUGCUCUGAGACACAAUGUUCUUCUUCUUCUGAGGAGGAGGAGGUUUGCGAAGGAUCUCUUUCAGCUCUGUAUUGUGAAGAGUGAGAUUGUGAAAGAGUGUGUUGUGUUAUAUGCUAAUGUGACUGAAUGUCAUCACUCCUCUCCACAGAAAACCAUUGUUUCUCUCUGAACUGGAAUCAGAUUGAGGUUUUAACAUCCUGCAGAGGGUGGAAAUACUUCAUACCGUUGCCUCUAUACUUCACUUGUUUGUUGUUUAAAUGUGCAUUAAUGGAAAAGUUUUUAGCUGCUUUUGCAUUAAAAUUUAUGAUAUUCCUUUGA